rnacentral:lncRNA from 1 species
GCGGGGGAGGGGCGGGGGAGAAAAGGGGACUUGGCUGCCCUCCACCCAGAGGCCUGCAUGCACAUCCAGCCGACACACUGGCUCUAAUCCCUGCUCCUUUGACGCACUCAUUUUCUGGUUUUUCACAAAGGCCGACUGUGCUCCCAGCAGCUGCAGCUGCUCAGGGCCCCAGGGAGGCUGUGGGAAGGGUCGCGGGGACGCUGGCAGCUGCGGGAAAAGACUCUGAGCACCUGUCCCUCUCCUCUGGGUGCUCGCCCCUCCCCCGGCCUAUGCAUUUUCCUGCCGAGGAACUUCCAUGUGCCAUGGGUGCAGCCAUAAAGCAACAACAGCAGCAGCAGCAGCAGCAGCAGCAACAAGAACAAGAGCAUCUGCUUUCAGACAGCCACACCCAAGGCCCUCUGUGAGACAACUGGGGCGCAGAGGGCUGGACUCUCGUCCAAGAUCUGAUGACUAGUAAGUGCAGGAGACUCCCCUCCAAGAACCUGGUCCUCUUGGAAGAAGGUAGGAGGUAAUCGGACCCCAUGUGCUGUACCUGGAGGGGCAUGGUGGGGGGCUACUGCCAUUGUUCAGGGAGAGUAGAGGAAGGGCUGAAUGGAGGUGGUGGGUGGAGUGCAAGAAAGGGUGGGGAUGGUCAGAGGAAGGAGGCCUCGGACUAGACGGCUGAUUGGCUGGGAGGCAGGGGGAAGCGGAACCUAGCACGACUUGAUUGGCUGGGAGGCAGGAGGAAGCGGAACCUACCGCGACUUGGGGGUGUGGUCAAUAUGGUGCCUUUACUGAAGAGGGUUGGUGCACAGGAGGCAAAGGAGGUCUUAUGGGAAAUCUGGCAGGUGGCAGCUGUAAAAUAAAGCUCAUGCAGUUGAUGGUAACACCCAGCAUGGCUGUAUGCUUUGAAAUCCCCCCCACAGUUUGAAAUCUCUGAGCAAUAUUUCUGCUCCAUCCCUCUGCAGCUGUGCUCAAGCCAAGGACCACAGGACUGUCCUUGCUCCUCCUUCUCUGCCAGCCCUCAGGGGGCCUGCGAUGUCCCUUUAGGUCCUCUGCAGACUUUGCACAAACAGGGAUUCCAGCACAACUAUAGAUGGGCUGAGAAAGCCAGCACCCAGGGGCUAUAAGGAGGAAGAACAGGAGUCUGAAGUGGUCUCUUGGCACACCGGCUAGGGGGCAGGGAGCAUAGGGCAUAGGAGGAGGGGUAGGGUAAGUGACUGCUCCUCCCAGCUUCACUCACCAGGAGCCCAGCCCAAGGCCAAGAGCUUCGUGCAGAUGGACACUCAAAAGAUCAGGAAUUUACCUGAUUCACCUUGCAAACACUAACUUUAUGCCAAUUUACAUGUUCCACGUUAAUUAGCUUUCCUAAUAACAAUGUGCCCUAGAGUGCUUGGAAGUUACUGUGGCUAGGGGCAAGAAUAUUUCCUUGUUCUGGGUAAGAGGUAUUCCCAAACACAUCACUUGGUGAACAAAGGGGUCUAGUCAUAAACUUCUCAACAGCAGCCGCAGAGGAGGAACCAGCAGCAAGGUAAUGCAAUUAUGCAAUGAAUUGUGAAUACAUCCCAUUCAAUCAGACUUCCUUAAAUGGCUCCUAGCCCAGGUUUUCCAAAGUUUGGGGUGGAAGGAGUGGGGGGAUGUCCAUUUACAAGUAAAGGAAAGAGACUCUACUUUUCUCCUGCCCCUCAGAAGGAACCAACCCUGCCAACACCUUGAUUUCAGGCUUCCAGCCUCUAGGAACCUGGAAAUCUAAACUCUUGUCUAAGCCACCCCAUUCGGGGUGAUUUCUUAUGGCAGCCCUAGCAAACUAAUACAUAGGCUAUCUCAACAUCUGAAUUCCUAGAAUCCACCAUUUCCAUAUCUGGUCUGUGGAUGGACUGGAAAAGAAUUUCCAGACUCAGAGUGAUGUAAUGAGAAAGAUGAUUUUAUUGAGGCAAAAAACUCUGCUAGGGCAGUGUGUCCACUUCCUGAUAAUCAGGAAGAGCCAGCCCCAAGUGUGUGAUCAUGUCUUUUUAUAGCCCAGGGACAAAGAAGAAAGGAGAGGUCUUACUAUACACCUGCUGACCUGCAGAUUGGUUGGGGAAAGUGGGAUCUUACGAUAUGCUUGCUACCAGUUGAUUCCCCAACCAAUCAGCAGGUGCAUAGUAAGGUUAUAGUAUAUAUGGUUGGGGCGCAUAAUGCCCCUAUAGGGGCAGGGUGAGGAGUUGGCCAAAUACCUUUCCUAAUAUAGGGCAAGGGGAAGUAGGCCAGGCUGCUGAUAGGGGAGCUCAAGGACUUUGUAACAGUUGCAAAGAGACUGGUGGGGGAUAAGGGUCUGAUGAUUUUUAUCCCUGCCAGAGGCUCUUUGAGUUUAUCUCGUUGGAAAGUUCUUGAAGUCCCACGGGCUGGAAAACUAUAAUGGCUGCAGGCUGAGGUCCAUCAAUUAUACAAGAGUGAAAGGAAGCUAUGGGUCAACUGGAGAUCAGAGUCAGGGCAAAAGAUCGUGCUUGUGCUGAACAAAGCUGGUGGGGGCAGGUGGGAGAAGAAGCAAAGUGGCAUUUUGGUCAUGCUUCCUGGUGGGAUGGCCCUGCAAGCAGCCAGGCUUGCUUCCUGGAGCCCAAUGUCCUGGGGUACGUCCUCCAAGGGGGUCCAGCUCACGCCAGUUUCCUGCUCUGUCUGAUCAUCAGAGUCACUGGAGUUCUUGUCCAAAAUGCAGUUCCUAAGGCGCCACCAGGCCCACACAAUCAGACCCCAGAGGGCCUGGCUGGAGAUGGGCCAGUAAAUAGACGUCUUCCAGGGAAGUGGCUACUUUGUGUCCUUUGUGCAGUGAACAGAGGCUUAACCUCUCUUCUGCCAAAGAAAAUGCUACUGCAAAGUUGCAAGCUCCCAGGAGAGCCUCCAUCUGAGGCAGGCUAUUUUCAGAAUUCUGUGCCUCUCUGUUAAUUUUGUUAAUCAUUAAUGUGGUAUUUUAUAAAACUGGCAUGGUUCCUUUUCUCUCCAGUUAUGAAACCUGGCUAUUUCCUAUGCAUCCUUUCAUUCUUUGCUGAGCCAAUUAACAUAACUUGUUCAAUACGAAUUUAGACGGCAGUGGAGUACAUCAAAUCGGUACACAUGCUGCGUUUUAAAAUAAAAUUUACUUCAGCUUAAAGUAAUGAGAAACAACAGCAUGAUACCCUGAGACUAGUCAUUUAGCCAGAAAUGAUGUUCUCAUGUCACAUAUUUGUUUUCUCACUUUCUAAAUAGAAGCCAUGGUAAUCAGAGCUGCCUUGCUCUGGGCAAGAUUAAGCUGACGUUAAUAAGCAGUACCUUCACUCCGACAUACUGUGUGGUAGCAAGGGGAGGGAAACUGUUAAUAACUCAACAGUAUUUUGGAUAAAACUAAAGAAAAUAUUGGGUAAAGAUGACAAAGACCAAAAUAGGAAACUGUGUACGGCCAGGUAAGGUGAAACAUGAUGCUACGAAAGGAGACAGGAAAAGGAGUCGAGAAUUCAGCUUUGCAUCCCAAUUCGGGCCAACAUGUGAACUACCCUUAUCACUAUUUUACCUUUUAGAAAAAAAUCUGAAUAGGAAGGGCUAAAUGAGAGAAUGUUUGUAAUAUUGGGUAGCAUAAGACUGUCUCAGAGCCAUCAGUAUUGCAUCUUAGCUUCUUUUGUAAUUAAAAAGAAUAGGCAGCUCUUACGAGGGUAGUACCUAUUUUGGGAAAUGACUGAGAGUCAUCCUUCAUUAACCUCACGUAGGGUGUUAGAGUCUUCCAGCAGGGUAGUGACAAUUGCUCACAGCCAGAUCUUCACUCCCUAGUGGUCGUUGGUGGACCACCAGCCCUGGCAUGACCUGGGAGCAGGAAGAGGCGCAGAAGCUCUGGUCCUCCCUGCAGAUGCACUGGACCAGAACCUGCAUUUUAACCAGGUUUCCAGGUGGCUUCUAUGCGUGUUAGAGCUGAGACACCUUGCCCUUGACCCCUGCCUGGGGGAAGGUUAAGGAGUGCUUUGUUGGCUUAUAGAGAAAUAGAAGUAUUCCUGGGAAUAUAAUAAAUAUGUAUCUAUGUAUAUAUAACAGCAUAACGUAAUACAGUAGGACACAGCAUAGCAUAACAUAGCACAACACAGCAAAACAUACAGAGUCCAUCAAUUUCUAAUUUGGUGACAUACUCAUCUUUUAAAAAGCAAAGGGACAGUUCUAAGAAGAUGGCAACACGAUGUUUAGGUCUUUCUGAAUCCCACGUGUAAACAGACAUCUGGAAGUCAAAACUGAAGUGGAUAGAAAACAUUUACAGCAAAGCUAGGGAACAAAUAUUCCAAGAGUCUCCAAAAUUCAGUCAAGGGGACAUGUUACCAAAGCCACAAGGUCUAGGCGGAAUCAGGAUCUGUGGGGUUGAAACAGAGGGAAGGAACUGAGUGGCCAAUGACCUCAGCAAAGAAGAAUUCACCAAAUAGCCGACGGGCCUUCGCUGGACGGCAUGGCAGGACAAUUUGAGAAAAAUAGGUUAAACGAGAAUCUAUCCGUAUAAAUGCUCAGGGCCCCUGGUGGGGACUGACUGGGAUGAGAAGCCUGGUCUCUAUAAACAUCUGAAGCUAAGCAGCCCAAGUUCCCUUUCAGAAUAGGGUCCCCCGCUGAGGAGAAACCUCUGAGCAGAAUCAAAACGAGCAGGAUAAAGACAUGGGGAUGAAGUGGAAGAUCAUUUUGAUAAAAAUAGGAGAGGGAAGCAAAGCCAGAAGAAUCUCAGAAAGCAACUCUUUCUCAUAUAUAUUUCACACUAUAUAUAAUAUAUAAAAUAUAUACAUAUGUUUCACGCUGUAUGAUAACAAUUCUUAAAAUUCAGCAUAAGCAAAUUACCACAAAGAUGAGCAACACAAAAACAUAAGGUCAGAUUCUGCACAAAGUUACUAUAAAAAAAGAAGAAAUUAAGAAUAACAUCCUAAACUCAACACCUAUACUAAAGACAAAGCUAAAAAUACAUAGAUCAAAAAUGUAACAUGCCUUUUCAAAAUGAGCUCAGAGAUAUUAAGAAAAUGAUACAAGAUAUAAAUGAGAAAAACUCAGAGUGCAGUCACAUAAGAAAGAAUUAGCAAUAAAAAGGAAAAUAAUUUUAUUAUGAAGACUAAGAAAACAAGAGCAAACAACUACAACAGGCACUGCCUUUGGAAAAUGGGAAGUGGAAAAGACUUUAAAACAAAAAGAAAUGAAGGAGUUCCCAUCGUGGCUCAGCAGAAACGAAUCUAAGAACCAUGAGAUCGUGGGUUCGAUCCCUGGCCUCGCUCAGUGGGUUAAGGAUCUGGUAUUGCCAUGAGCUGUGGUGUAGGUGGCAGACUCGGCUUGGAUCUGGCGUUGCUGUGGCUGUAGUGUAGGCCGGCAGCUGUAGCUCCGAUUUGACCCCUAGCCUGGGAACCUUUAUAUGCCUCGGGUCCAGCCCUAAAG